UGCACAUUGUGCCAAGCCAGUGGGAAGAACUUGUGGAGUAUUGGCGUACUUCCGAUGCUGAGAAAAUCGCAAGUAGGAACGCUAAAAAUCGGCGAGCUCACGGCAUAGCUCAUACCACAGGGCGUACUACUUUCUCUCAGAUACGGCAUGAGAUGACCAGUAAGGGGGAGUCUACUGAUAAGAUGAAUGUUUGGCUUAUGACACGUAGAGUA